rnacentral:misc_RNA from 1 species
UACGUAGGUGGCAAGCGUUGUUCGGAUUUACUGGGCGUAAAGCGCGCGUAGGCGGACAUUUAAGUCAGGGGUGAAAUCCCAAGGCUCAACCUUGGAACUGCCUUUGAUACUGGAUGUCUGGAGUUCGGGAGAGGUGAGUGGAAUUCCGAGUGUAGAGGUGAAAUUCGUAGAUAUUCGGAGGAACACCAGAAGCGAAGGCGGCUCACUGGCCCGAUACUGACGCUGAGGCGCGAGAGCGUGGGGAGCAAACAGG